GUUAGGAAUAUUGGACAAUGGGCGCAAGCCUGAUCCAGCCAUGCCGCGUGAGUGAUGAAGGCCUUCGGGUUGUAAAGCUCUUUAGCCGAUGAUUAUAAUGACUGUAGUCGGAAAAUAAGCCCCGGCUAACUUCGUGCCAGCAGCCGCGGUAAUACGAAGGGGGCGAGCGUUAUUCGGAAUCACUGGGCGUAAAGCGUGCGUAGGCGGCUUUGCAAGUUGGGAGUGAAAGCCCAGGGCUCAACCCUGGAAUUGCUCUCAAAACUGCAAGGCUCGAAUUUGGGAGAGGAUAGCGGAAUUGUCAGUGUAGCAGUGAAAUGCGUAGAUAUUGACAGGAACACCAGUGGCGUAAGCGGCUAUCUGGACCGAUAUUGACGCUGAGGCACGAAAGCGUGGGGAUCAAACAGGAUUAGAUACCCGUGUAGUCC
rnacentral:rRNA from 1 species